ensembl:miRNA mir-4812 ncRNA
AGAAGUAAGAGCGCUUGUAGUGAGUUGUCAAAAAUUGAGUAUGACAACCACUGCAAUUUCUCUAUUACAUUUUUGG